rnacentral:rRNA from 1 species
CGUGAGCGGUAGAGGAGYGUCGUAAUCGGGCUGAAGUCGUACCGUAAGGAGCGGUGGACUGAUUACGAGUGAGAAUGUUGGCAUUAGUAGCGAGAUGUAGGCGAGAAUCCUACAGGCCGAAUAUCUAAGGUUUCCUGAGUAAAGUUUGUCUUCUCAGGGUUAGUCGGGACCUAAGGCGAGGCCGAAAGGCGUAGUCGAUGGACAAUUGGUUGAUAUUCCAAUACCACUAUWAUCGUUAUUAUCGAUGGUGUGACGGAGAAGGAUAGGAUGUGCUAGCUAUUGGAUGCUAGUCUAAGCGUUUAGGGAGUUGGGAUUGGCAAAUCCGUUCCAACAAUUSUGAGGCGUGAUGGGGAAGGUUCUACGGAACCGAAGUAUCUGAUUCCAUGCUUCCAAGAAAAGCAUCUAGAGAGAGAAGUAGUGCCCGUACCGCAAACCGACACAGGUAGAUGAGGAGAGAAUCCUAAGGCCGACGGAAGAAUYGCAGUUAAGGAACUAGGCAAAUUGACCCCGUAACUUCGGGAGAAGGGGYGCCUGAGAAAUCAGGCCGCAGAGAAUAGGCACAAGCAACUGUUUAACAAAAACACAGGUCUCUGCUAAAGCGAAAGCUGAUGUAUAGGGGCUGACGCCUGCCCGGUGCUGGAAGGUUAAGGGGAACACUUAGUGGUAACGCGAAGGUGUGAAC